rnacentral:rRNA from 1 species
GAAGAAAGAGGGAGGAGUGAUUAACACAUGCAAGUCGAACGGAAAGGCCCUGCUUUUGUGGGGUGCUCGAGUGGCGAACGGGUGAGUAACACGUGAGUAACCUGCCCUUGACUUUGGGAUAACUUCAGGAAACUGGGGCUAAUACCGGAUAGGAGCUCCUGCUGCAUGGUGGGGGUUGGAAAGUUUCGGCGGUUGGGGAUGGACUCGCGGCUUAUCAGCUUGUUGGUGGGGUAGUGGCUUACCAAGGCUUUGACGGGUAGCCGGCCUGAGAGGGUGACCGGCCACAUUGGGACUGAGAUACGGCCCAGACUCCUACGGGAGGCAGCAGUGGGGAAUAUUGCACAAUGGGCGGAAGCCUGAUGCAGCAACGCCGCGUGCGGGAUGACGGCCUUCGGGUUGUAAACCGCUUUCGCCUGUGACGAAGCGUGAGUGACGGUAAUGGGUAAAGAAGCACCGGCUAACUACGUG